UGUGAUUUUUCUCCUUGCCUGUGGAAGAGAUAGUUGCCUGCCUCUCCGCAUCCUCCAGCGUUCCCUCAGUCCUUUGUAAAGGCAGGGAGCUACUCCGUCUUGCUGCCGUUUGCCCUGUUGCCGGGCACGAUGGCUGGAGCUCCAGCCACCUCUUUGGCCAGUGAGGAUGAGGCCCCGUCAAGAGAUGGCAGAAGAACGUAUGUAGGUGUGGCAAAGCAGGCACUCUGUUCGCUGGAUGUGGUCGGGAAUUCGUUGAACCUUCCAGAGAAAGAGGCUUGGUACAUACCAAGAGCCAGGAACACCUCUCUGAAGCUGCCGUCUGAAGGAAAUACUCUGACAUUUGACAAGGCGCGUGUACUGGCAGCUGCGGACAGACAUGGCCUUCAGCCCUCCUGGAGCCAGAGGGGGAAAAAAUGA
rnacentral:lncRNA from 1 species